AACGAACGCUGGCGGCAUGCCUAACACAUGCAAGUCGAACGAGAUCUUCGGGUCUAGUGGCGCACGGGUGCGUAACGCGUGGGAAUCUGCCCUUUGGUUCGGAAUAACAGUUGGAAACGACUGCUAAUACCGGAUGAUGACGAAAGUCCAAAGAUUUAUCGCCAGAGGAUGAGCCCGCGUAGGAUCAGCUAGUUGGUGUGGUAAAGGCGCACCAAGGCGACGAUCCUUAGCUGGUCUGAGAGGAUGAUCAGCCACACUGGGACUGGGACACGGCCCAGACUCCUACGGGAGGCAGCAGUGGGGAAUAUUGGACAAUGGGCGAAAGCCUGAUCCAGCAAUGCCGCGUGAGUGAUGAAGGCCUUAGGGUUGUAAAGCUCUUUUACCCGGGAUGAUAAUGACAGUACCGGGAGAAUAAGCUCCGGCUAACUCCUUGCCAGCCGCCGCCGUAA
rnacentral:rRNA from 1 species